rnacentral:rRNA from 1 species
AAUAGAUACCCGGGUAGUCCACCCGUAAACGUUGGGAACUAGUUGUGGGGUCCUUUCCACGGAUUCCGUGACGCAGCUAACGCAUUAAGUUCCCCGCCUGGGGAGUACGGCCGCAAGGCUAAAACUCAAAGGAAUUGACGGGGACCCGCACAAGCGGCGGAGCAUGCGGAUUAAUUCGAUGCAACGCGAAGAACCUUACCAAGGCUUGACAUACACCAGAACACCCUAGAAAUAGGGGACUCUUUGGACACUGGUGAACAGGUGGUGCAUGGUUGUCGUCAGCUCGUGUCGUGAGAUGUUGGGUUAAGUCCCGCAACGAGCGCAACCCUCGUUCUAUGUUGCCAGCACGUAAUGGUGGGAACUCAUGGGAUACUGCCGGGGUCAACUCGGAGGAAGGUGGGGAUGACGUCAAAUCAUCAUGCCCCUUAUGUCUUGGGCUUCACGCAUGCUACAAUGGCCGGUACAAAGGGCUGCAAUACCGUGAGGUGGAGCGAAUCCCAAAAAGCCGGUCCAGUUCGGAUUGAGGUCUGCAACUCGACCUCAUG